GAGGGAUGACACAGGUAGAGGGACCGGAGAGGAGGGACCUGAGGAGGGACCCCCGAGGGGAGCCACAGACGGCGGACUGAGAAGGAGACGCGGGCUGGGCAGCGGCGGCUCGCCCGCUCCGUCGUCCGUCUCCAACGUGGCCCCUCUGGGCACGGAGCUCCGCGGCCGGUCACGCUCACCCAUGGCAACGUCCGUCCCCCUGCGAAGCCACCGGCCAUGACCUAACCGGGGCCACAGAAGCCGGGUCAAGGGAACCCCGAGAGCCGGAGGCGCCAGCAGCUGCCUCCACGCCACCGCCGCCCUGAGGCCGCUGCCGCCACCGCCCCGCGGGAACACGGCUUCGUCACGCGCGACGACGUACGGCAGGCCCCGCCCCUCGCGCCGGUGGGCGGGCCCUGGACUAGCCCCGCCCCUUUCCCCCAUCCCUGACCCGGAAGGGCUGUCCCGAGGGGCGGGGAGCUUCGAGCUCCGCUGCGGCCGCGGCGGCGGUGGGGCGCGCAACUCUGGGCUGGGCUUCGCGGCCCGCUGUGCCCGUGACCCGGCCGGGUGCGGAGCCUGCCGGCAGGCCUUCCCCCGCAGAGCCGCAAAGAACUGUCUCCGUGAUGCACACCCACGUUAAUGCCAUUAAGAGCCCCGGAAACCUUCGCUCGGCUCGAGUGCUCUAGACAAACGAGCCGUCCGCCUCCGUCCUAGGGCUCAGUGACGGCAUUUGUUGCGUCGCGGUUUCCCGUCGAAUCCCGGCCUUGCGAGGAACCUACCGACCCUGUUCUGCGGCCUGAGGUCGCGGCGGAUGAGUUUGGGGGGACCGCCGGCCCCCUGCGCUGCCCGGUCCUCCCCGGGCCGGGUCCCCAGGACAGACUCGCUCUGGGCGAACCCGAGCAGCGAGCCUGGCGCACCUGGGAGCCCAGAGCGUGGGGAGGGCCCGGCGCGUGCCCGUCCCCGCCCCGCGAGCUCCUUGGUCCAGGGCGUGUUCCCGGGGACAGCCACAGGCCAGAGCUUGCCCCUCUCGGGGACUGCAGUUGGCUUGAUCCUCUCCCGCGUCAGACGACAGACCUUCUCGCCGGGAGAUUUAGUUCCAGGGGUGGAGAGUGUCUACAUUCCUGUAGAUCUGCCGUCUGCCUCUCAGACUGGGCAAAGGAGACUUCUGCACAGACCCCGUCAGGAAGUGGCAGGAGCAGCCCAGCUGAGGGACCCCGAACUGGACCUGGGCGUGUGACCGUGCACCGUCCCGGUGGAGACCCCGCCCCCUGGCUCAAGACAGGGGUCUUUUCUGAAAGACCUCGGGGAUACUUUAGGUUCCCCAUUCAAUCACUUGGGCUGUGUGGUCACCAGAGCUUCUGAUGAGAUAAGCAGAUGGCCAGGAAUUCCAGGUGUUCCCGGCACUGGAGGGAAGAAUUCACUUCAGUAAGGGACACUAAGCCUGCAGAAGAGGCUGGGACCUGGGGGAGAGCCCCAGAGCCCCAGGCCUCAGUUUCCUGCUCAGCCAAUUGAUCAGACUUACCCUGGGCAGCGAGCAGGCUGGCAUCUUGCGUGCCUUGGGGCGAGGCCCCCACCUGACAGGGCGAUGUCCCUCCAGGUGUCCCCCUCCGCUUCUGUGGAAAAGCUCUGGACAUGGAAGCUCUUUCUAGAAGGUCUCUUUUGUCCUCCUCCAUGUGGCAGGUAUUGCUGGGGACCAGAAACACACCUGUCGGAGUUCCCAUCGUGGUGCAGCUGAAACGAAUCUGACUAGGAGCCAUGAGGUUUCGGGUUCGAUCCCUGGCCUCGCUCAGAGGGUGGGGGAUCCAGCGUUGCCGUGAGCUGUGGUGUAGGUUGCAGACAUGGCUCGUAUCCCGCGUUACCAUGGCUGUGGUGUAGGCUGGCAGCUGCAGCUCCAAUUAGAUCCCUAACCUGGGAACUUCCAUAUGCUGCAUGUGUGGCCCUAAAAAGCAAAAAAAAAAAAAAAAAAAAAAAAAAAAAAACUUGUGGAAGCCCCAAGUCCCACCCCAACUUGGCUGCUGGCCCAAGGAGGUAUCCUGGGUGGUGUGCUAGGCUGGUCUGCAUUUGUUUCCUCUGGAAGGCAGCAGGGGUGAGCUGUUCCUGGAAUUGGCCCACAGCAGGCUGUGCUCAUGCUGGACCAGCCUGGCAUCACUUCAUCAGAGGCUGUCGGGUCAGCUGUGAGACAGUGCAAGGGGCCCUCUGCAGGCCCCCAGCCACACUUACAUGGCCACAUGCCACCACUGCCCCAUGCUCAGGGAGGACCUGACAGUGCAGCUGCAAGUUGAGAGAGACAGCCCCCACGGUAACCUGAUGUGUGCCUCUACCCUGCUCACCCAACUUUGUGGCACCUUUGGGGGUGCAGACCUGUGGACUCACCAGCAAUGCGAGGAACGCCUGAGUGGCAUCUGCCUCAUCAGGAGGGGCCCCUUGUGACCUGUGGGCACUAGAGUGUUCUGUGCUUGGGCAGGUGCAGACCCUGGGCCCCAACUACAUGGUGAGCUUGUCCUGUUCCUGAGCCCCAGGAGUCCUGAAAUACAGACCACGUGUGUCUUCCCACGCCCCAUGCUGGCUCUGCCAGCACCAUGACAGGACUGGAGCAGGAGCAGGGAUGAGAUGGAGUCACCUAUGGACCACAGAGCUGUCGCGUCCCUGAAACUUUGUGACUCAGAGGCCAUGCUGACUAGAGUCCAUGAUUCCCUGGUGUCAUUUGUUGUUUGUUUUCCACAUGUGAGUAUAAGAGCUUAAGUUACUUUCGAAAAUCAUUUUCAGGGAGUUCCCCUUGUGGCUCAGUGGAAACAAACCUGACUAGUAUCCAUGAGGAUACAGGUUCGAUCCCUGGUCUUGCUCAGCAGGUUAAGGAUCCAGCGUUGCCAUGAGCUGUGGUGUAGGCAGCAAACGUGGCUCAAAUCCCACGUUGCUGUGGUGUAGGCUAGCGGCUAUAGCUCCGAUUCAGCCCCUAGCCUGUGAACCGCCACAUGACACAGGUGUGGUCCUACAAAGACAAUAAAUAAAUAAAUAAAAUCAACUAUACUUUAAAAAAAAAUCAUUGCAAAAUUUUCAAAAUUUCAAAGAUUAUUCAAGAACU
rnacentral:lncRNA from 1 species